AACCCAUGAUGAGGGAACCAUCUCAGUAAGUCCUCAUACCUCUUGCAUGCAUCAUAUAGGGUCUCUAAAUCAAUGUGAAUGAAGGAAGAGAUAUCAUUCCUCAACUU
rfam:Gossypium hirsutum cultivar TM-1 chromosome 12, whole genome shotgun sequence